CGUGUAGGCGGGAGGGUACGUCCGUCGCUGAAAUCCCCCGGCUCAACCGGGGAACGGGCGCGGAUACGGCCUUCCUGGAGGGGCGUAGGGGGACCUGGAACUUCCGGUGGAGCGGUGAAAUGCGUUGAGAUCGGAAGGAACGCCCGUGGCGAAAGCGAGGUCCUGGACGCCUACUGACGCUGAGACGCGAAAGCCAGGGGAGCGAACG
rnacentral:rRNA from 1 species